rnacentral:rRNA from 1 species
ACGUUACCAAACUGUUGCCUCGGCGGGGUCACGCCCCGGGUGCGUCGCAGCCCCGGAACCAGGCGCCCGCCGGAGGAACCAACCAAACUCUUUCUGUAGUCCCCUCGCGGACGUAUUUCUUACAGCUCUGAGCAAAAAUUCAAAAUGAAUCAAAACUUUCAACAACGGAUCUCUUGGUUCUGGCAUCGAUGAAGAACGCAGCGAAAUGCGAUAAGUAAUGUGAAUUGCAGAAUUCAGUGAAUCAUCGAAUCUUUGAACGCACAUUGCGCCCGCCAGUAUUCUGGCGGGCAUGCCUGUCCGAGCGUCAUUUCAACCCUCGAACCCCUCCGGGGGAUCGGCGUUGGGGAUCGGGACCCCUCACACGGGUGCCGGCCCCGAAAUACAGUGGCGGUCUCGCCGCAGCCUCUCCUGCGCAGUAGUUUGCACAACUCGCACCGGGAGCGCGGCGCGUCCACGUCCGUAAAACACCCAACUUUCUGAAAUGUUGACCUCGGAUCAGGUAGGAAUACCCGCUGAACUUAAGCAUAUCAAUAAGCGGAG